AAGAGAAAAAAAAGAGAAAAGGAACCAAGCGAGAACACUUACCUGCGGCGGACGAUUAGAUUGGAAACAUUCCAAGGCGUCGAAGAAAGAAAAAGCAUUGGUAAAUUAACUUGUUUGGCUUCGGCUCUCUGGUUGAGCGAGUGUUCCAUCGACUUCCACUCGACCUCAGCGUUAGCCAGUGUCCAGCACAUC